rnacentral:rRNA from 1 species
AUUGAACGCUGGCGGCAGGCCUAACACAUGCAAGCCGAGCGGAAACGAAAAGUAGCUUGCUACUUUGGCGUCAAGCGGCGGACGGGUGAGUAAUGCCUAGGGAACUGCCCAGUCGAGGGGGGAUAACAGUUGGAAACGACUGCUAAUACCGCAUACGCCCUACGGGGGAAAGGAGGGGACCUUCGGGCCUUUCGCGAUUGGAUGUACCUAGGUGGGAUUAGCUAGUUGGUAAGGUAAUGGCUUACCAAGGCGACGAUCCCUAGCUGUUCUGAGAGGAUGAUCAGCCACACUGGGACUGAGACACGGCCCAG